AGUGAACGCUGGCGGUAGGCCUAACACAUGCAAGUCGAACGGCAGCACAGUAAGAGCUUGCUCCUACGGGUGGCGAGUGGCGGACGGGUGAGGCAUACAUCGGAAUCUACUUUUUCGUGGGGGAUAACGUAGGAAAACUUACGCUACUACCGCAUACGACCUACGGGUGAAAGCAGGGGAUCUUCGCACCUUGCGCGAUUGAAUGAGCCGACGUCGGAUUAGCUAGUUGGCGGGGUAAAGGCCCACCAAGGCGACGAUCCGUAGCUGGUCUGAGAGGAUGAUCAGCCACACUGGAACUGAGACACGGUCCAGACUCCUACGGGAGGCAGCAGUGGGGAAUAUUGGACAAUGGGCGAAAGCCUGAUCCAGCCAUACCGCGUGGGUGAAGAAGGUCUUCGGGUUGUAAAGCCCUUUUGUUGGGAAAGAAAAGCAGCAGAUUAAUACCCCGCUGUUCUGACGGUACCCAAAGAGUAAGCACCGGCUAACUUCGUG
rnacentral:rRNA from 1 species